rnacentral:rRNA from 1 species
AUUGAACGCUGGCGGCAGGCCUAACACAUGCAAGUCGGACGGUAGCACAGAGGAGCUUGCUCCUCGGGUGACGAGUGGCGGUCGGGUGAGUAAUGUCUGGGGAUCUGCCCGAUAGAGGGGGAUAACCACUGGAAACGGUGGCUAAUACCGCAUAACGUCGCAAGACCAAAGAGGGGGACCUUCGGGCCUCUCACUAUCGGAUGAACCCAGAUGGGAUUAGCUAGUAGGCGGGGUAACGGCCCACCUAGGCGACGAUCCCUAGCUGGUCUGAGAGGAUGACCAGCCACACUGGAACUGAGACACGGUCCAGACUCCUACGGGAGGCAGCAGUGGGGAAUAUUGCACAAUGGGCGCAAGCCUGAUGCAGCCAUGCCGCGUGUAUGAAGAAGGCCUUCGGGUUGUAAAGUACUUUCAGCGGGGAGGAAGGCGAUGUGGUUAAUAACCGCGUCGAUUGACGUUACCCGCAGAAGAAGCACCGGCUAACUCCGUGCCAGCAGCCGCAGUAACAC